rnacentral:lncRNA from 1 species
GGAAAUGGCUCCGAGAGGCUUUGACGCAUGUGUACCUUUUUAGUGGCGGUAUCUCGGCCGGGGAUUUUCGGGCUCCAGUGGAGGUGGCUAUGCUCACCCCAUCUCCCUUGAGAGGCACAGAAGAUGGAGAAACUGAGGCCCAGGCCAAAAAAUAUCUCACUAGAGGGCUCACCGCCAUUUCCUGGAAAAAUUGGGGCUGGGACUCAACGGACGCUCGUCCAGCAGCAGCGCGGAGCUCCGAAGUAAAGGCGCCCGUGACCGAGUGCUUUGUCCUUACAAGCGUGGUGUUCUUGAAUGCUUCCAGGCGCCUUAUGAGGCCCCCGAUGUACAAUCUGUGCUUAACUAAACCCCACUGUCUUCCAGGGUCAGGUUGGCCAUCCGCAGGCGUAGUUGCUAGGAAGGUUUGACAGAUGUCCGCCUGUUGAUUCAGACGUUCCCAGGAUUUGGAGCAAGAAGAGCAAGGAAGGCCAGGCGCGGUGGCUCACGUUUGUAAUCCCAGCACUUUGGGAGGCCGAGGCGGGCGGAUCACGAGGUCAGGAGUUCGAGACCAGCCUGGCCAGCAUGGUGAAACCCCGUCUCUACUAAAAAUACAAAAGAAAAUUAGCCGGGUGUGGUGGCACAUGCCUGUAGUCCCACCUACUUGGGAGGCUGAGGCAGGAGAAUUGUUUGACCUGGCAGGCGGAGGUUGCAGUGAGCCGAGAUUGCGCCACUGCACUCCAGUCUGGGCGACAGAGCGAGACUCUGUCUCAGAAAAAAAAAAGAGCAAGGAGGUGUUGAAAAUGGGUUUCCUGGCUGGGCGUGGUGGCUCACGCUUGUAAUCCCAGCACUUUGGGAAGCUGAGGUGGGCGGAUCACUUGAGGUCAGGAGUUUGAGACCAGCCUGGCCAACAUGGUGAAACACCGUCUCCACUAAAAAUAGAAAAAUUAACUGGGUGUGGUGGAGGGCGCCUGUAAUCCCAGCUAAUCAGGAAGCUGAGACAGGAGGAUCGCUUGAACCCAGGAGGCGGAGGUUGCAGUGAGCCGAGAUUGCUCCAUUGCACUCCAGCCUGGGCGAUAGAGUGAGACUCAGCCUCAAAAAAAAAAAAAAAAAAAAAUUCGCCAGGUGUGGUGGUGUGCGCCUAUAAUCCCAGCUACUCAGGAGGCAGAGGCACAAGAAUGGCUUGAAUCACUUGAACCUGGGAGGCAGAGGUUACAAUGAGCCGAGAUGGCACCACUGCACUCCAGCCUGGGCGACAGAGCGAGACUCCGACUUCCCAUCUUAAAAAAAAAAAAAAAAAAAAAAAAGAAGUGUAAAGAUGUGAUUAUGUGGCAGGGGGUAAGGGUUAAAAAGAAAACAAGAACAAGUUUUCCUCUGCUUAGCCAGCUUACUUCAAGGACAGUUAUAACACUGAAAAGUCGAGGCCAAAGGAAUGGGCUCCAGACAGCCUCCUCCGGAGCAAAGUUGAAAAGAAAAAUUCCUUUACUGUCUCUCCUUUUCUGAACCAUUAAAUAUGACUGUUUGCCAAUGGUUGUAUUUAGUAAGAUUUGUAGACUCUGUUUUUCUUUUGACACAGCUGCAAGGCCAACAGCUGUGCAAAGCCACAAGUUAUGCUAAGUCAGCAGUUAUGCUAUAGAUUACAUGACCUGUGACUGUAUCAUUAACUGCUUUUGUUUUGCUUCUGUAAGUUUGCCUAUAAAAACCACACUCAGUCUUUGUUCAAUGGUCAGCUUUUCAGAUACAAAUCCACUGAGCCGGUGUACAUCUAAAUAAAUCCUCCUGUUUCCCGUG